CUGCUGCCCACCCUUGGCACCCAGGGGCUGGGAUGCUCAGGGAGCCAAACCUGCUCAGCAGAUCUCUGAAGUGGGAUCACACUGCUGUGGUUAUGCCAGUGCAUUACCACUGCCAUGGAGCAAGAGAGACCUUCAUCUCCCAACUCCUUGAUAGGGAUUUCUCCAAAGACAGCUUUCAGGGAAGAUCAGUGUUUUCAUUGUCUGUUGGAGCUGGAGCUGUGUGUUGAGGAUAACGCUGACACUCAGGAUGCCACCAGAUGCCACUUCUGCUCACAUCCAACAGCUGUGUGAAGGCAGCCUGCUGUUCCUGAUGGGCUGCACAGCGUUUGUGCUUUGGCUGGAGCCAGGGAAGGAGGGAACCCCAGGAAGAAAGGCACAGUCCUGCACUAAAGUCCUCCUGGAUAUUAACAGAGACACACAAAAGAAGCUGCAGCAUUAAUAUGAGUAGCAUGAUAAAACAGACUUGAGCUUGUGACAUGUUCAAUCUCUCAUUUAAUUUUUAUAGGAGUUGAUUAAGAUGCCUUUGCUUGAAUUUUUAUACUGUUUACUAUAAAACAUUAUCAUUUUCUUCAAAAUCUAUCGAGACAGACAAACCACACAUUUGCCAAGCUGUUAAAUAAAUAGUAUUAAAUCAACA
rnacentral:lncRNA from 1 species